AACGCACAUGGCGCUUCCGGAAACUCUCUGGGAGCAUGCUUGUUUCAGUGUCUGUUGUGACCCUCCAUCGACCUUUGCGGGUUUGAUGGGAGUAUGGGCUUCCGGCGCGAUUCGCGCUGGUGGUCUGAAGUGCACCUGUGGGUACGCGGCGAAGGAGGUGAUAUGACGCACGUCGUAUCUCCCUUGCCAUCCUUUGCGGCUUCGGCUGCAAAGGGCUUGCCGUAUAUGAGUCGGCGCGCCCUGGUGUGGUGGUGUGCCCUGGAUUCUCCUCGUGAGAGACCGGGAACGCGCAACCCGCCCCAAGGCCAGUGCUAUACUUAUGUGCGAUCCAAGUGCGCAAGGCGACCAACCUUCCUUCGUGUUCUGUGUGCCGAGAACUGUGUAUGCGUUGCACGCACGGCUCCAAACCACCUAAUACACUCCAACGAUCGGACCUGAAAUCAAGCAAGAUUACCCGCUGAAUUUAA
rnacentral:misc_RNA from 1 species